GACAGAGGAUGCAAGCGUUAUCCGGAAUGAUUGGGCGUAAAGCGUCUGUAGGUGGCUUUUUAAGUCCGCCGUCAAAUCCCAGGGCUCAACCCUGGACAGGCGGUGGAAACUACCAAGCUGGAGUACGGUAGGGGCAGAGGGAAUUUCCAGUGGAGCGGUGAAAUGCGUAGAUAUUGGAAAGACCACCAAUGGCGAAGGCACUCUACUGGGCCAUUACUGACACUGAGAGACGAAAGCUAGGGGAGCGAAUGGG
rnacentral:rRNA from 1 species